UUAAGUAAUUAUGUGGCCGAUAUUAGGUGUUAGUCUCUUAAAUUAAUAAAGG
rnacentral:tRNA from 1 species